GGGGGCCGGCAUGGUGGGAAAGUUCAGCAGGGAGGCCUUGGGAUGUCCGGAUUCUUGGCAUCUUCAGACCUGGAGAAGAGAGGAGUCCUGUGGGCCAGGGCAGGUCCCUGAGACAGGGUCCGAGUUUGAGAUGGGCCCUGGGAGCUGGGGGCGGAGAGUGAGGUCCGUGUUCCCCUGGGAGGGGUGCUACAGCCCCCCACCCUUCUGGUGCAGAGCUGGCUCUUCCAGGGAGGGGAAGGUCUCCACGGGUUCCUGUCCUCGAGCGGAGAGAGCGCCCUGGGUCUCCUUGGGGCCUUGCUCUGGGACUUUCGCUCCUGUUACCUUCUGACGGCCCGGCCCCCUGGCAUCCUUACACCGUGCCCUCUAACUCCUGCCAGUUCCUUCUGACCGUCCUGGGUGUCUGGAAGGAUGUGUGCUGUGAGCCCCCAGCCAAAACGACCCCUGGGAGCCAUGGAUCAGGACAGUCUCUUUCUGGCCCCCAUUUUCCAGCCUCUUCCCUACACUCUGCCCCCAGAGUGGGGCCCUCGGGCUGGCCCUUGUGUGCCAGGAGAGGGGGCGCAGGCACGAGUGAGGCCUCCUCAGGCUUCCAGACUCUGCCUGGAGCCCCACCCUCAAGGGAGCCUGCCCUGGCUCCUCCUGCCCCACUUCUGGCUCCCUGGAUGCUCUCCAGCCCUUCCCCAGCGGCUGCAUGGCCGCUGUAGCAGCCUGGGAGCCUCCUGAGGACAGGGCCCUGUCCUGCCUACUCCUGUUCCCGCCAGGCACUCGAGCGAGAGCUCUGUGGCUGAGCAGCAGAGAGCUGGGUUGGACUUCAAGGGGCUCUUAGCAAGCCAGGGAGUGGCAAAGCCGCCACGGCCUGUGCCCCCAGGGCACCUCCCAAGACCCUCCUCUGGAGCUCAGCGGUCUGUGCCCUCCGCGGGGUCCCCGGCUUGCUAUGUGCCCCUGGGCACGUGGCAUUCCCUGUCUGGGCCUGCUCCCCUCUCCAUGAAAUGAGGGGGCAGGAGGAGCCGAUCUCUGAGGUCCCUUCCAGCUCAAACACCUUAUGUUCUAUGAAAUCCGUGUGAACGUUGCCAUGGAGACGUUGGAGGAACUGCGGCAGCACUGAACGCAACUUCCACCCGAGAGAGGAGCACUGAGUCACCCCAGCACGUGGGUGACAUCACAGUGAUCUGGGCUGUCAGGGUGUCCAGCUGUCCUGUGACCCUCUGCGGAUGGUUCUUC
rnacentral:lncRNA from 1 species